GAAGAAGGUGACUCUGAUUUUGUUUGUUUCUGUUUACAAAAUCUGAUUCUGCUUCUUAUAUUCUUGUGAUUAGAAAAAGAUUAGUGUGGCACUCUUUGUGUGUGUGUGUCUGUGUCUGCGUUAAGUCUGUGUUUUGUAGUGUCCACUUUCAUCAUCCACGUCUAAUCUGAACAAAACUAUAAUAGUAAUAGCCGGUUGCCUGCUGCAGCUUAAAUGCGAGCUUGCCCUUUAUUAAUUUUUCCUAUCCUUGCUAUUGCAGGCUAUUUCUCUCUUUCCUUUGUGUAGUUUUAAAUCCUUUUGCCUGUUAAGCCUAUAGUUUCACAUUUCUUUAUGAAUGUCUACAGUCUUGAAUUUGGGUUGCAAGCAUUGGGAUUUUGUUUUAGCAAUAUGUUUCAGUUUUAUUUAAUUGUCUCAGUAAUUUCUCAACAUUGUUUUGAGUAGCUUAGAGCUCUUCAUGCCAUGCGCAAUGAUUAUAGUCUCUGACUUAUGAUGGUAGAAUAUGUCCAUUGAGGAUUGGAUUAUCUACUCAUUAGUAUUGCUGUUAAUGUUAAUCAACCCGAUUAUAGUUUUCCUUAGGCUUUCUAUGUUUGCUUUAGCUUCUUAUCUAAUCUUAAAUUGAGGAUUUUGUUAGAUAUGAGUUAGUCCUUUUAGAUCUGGAGUUCUAGACUUGGGUUUGAAACUUCAUUUGCAUUUUCAUUUCUUGGUUCCGUUUGAUAUUUAUCUAUGGAAUAGGACUCUUUUUAUGCAUAUACAAGUAGACACAUUUUGUAAAGGGUGGGCAUCACUAUGGUUAUCUUGUUGUCCAUACUAUGAAGUUUUUUGUGAAUAGAACUGUAGUCAUUGGUUAAUUGACGAGCAUUUAACUAGUGUUAUCAUUUUUUUUCCACUUAGGUUGAUUAUAUAUUUUUUAUUUUUGUUAGUGACAAAAUGGUCUGUCAAGAAAUUGAGUCUUCUUGCUUAGUAAGGACUAAGGAGCUAUAGUCUUGUAAUUAAUUUAAACUGGAAUUUACUUUUAAUAAUGACUUUUAGCAUAAAUUAAAAUUUCAAUAAUAUUGCUAUUAUUGUAAAAUUUAUAAAAACAUAUAUGUCUUCGUUGCCAUUAUCUAGUAAUUUUCUAAACUAAUUGUAUUGCAUAUUGAAAGGUUAAAGUACAAUUUCGUUGGUGUUCAUGUUUGAAAAUAAAAAAACUGUUAGAAAUAUAUAGAUACUUUUUGAUUUGGUUAACUACAACGCAACAACAACAUCUAAGCUUUAAUCUCAAACUAUUUGAGGUCAGCUAUUUGGAUCAUUGUUCACCAUUCAAUUCUUUUUGAAAUCAAUUCUGCAUCAAUAUCUAAAAGUUGUAAAUCUUUUGAUAAAUGACAUUCAUGUAUUUGAGAUGAACUCCUUUCUUCUCCAACAUACCUUUCUUCCCCAAUACAACCUCAAUACUCUAUAAUAUACCUUUUCUAGGUUAAUAAAUUCCAUUUGGAGAUUUUUCUUCUUAUAAAUUUUUACUAAUAUUCUUAACAGAAAGAUAGGCUCUGUGGUAGAUCUACUAGGCAUAAAACCAAAUUGAUUCUCAGAUACCUUAGUAAUAUUCCUAAGUCUACGACAAAUCACUCUUUCCUAUAGGUUUAUCAUGUGAUUUAUCGGUUUAAUUCCACGAUAGCUUGUACAACUUUGGAUGUUUACUUUAAUCUUAAGAUAGAAACCAAAUUGUUCUUCCUCCACUCAUUUGGCAUCUUUCUAGAUUUUAGUAUACUGUAGAAUAGUUUGGUUAGCCAAGCUACUCAAACCUUCCCAAGGCACUUCCAUACUAUAGGGAUAUUAUCUGGGCUGUAAGCUCUCCCCGUUUUCAUAUUCUUUAUGGUCUCGUUAACUUCAACAAAUGUGAUUCUAUGAGUGUAGUUAAGGUUCUUCUUUGUCAAAUGAACAAUAAGGUCUCUAAAGUCAUUCUCAUGGGCUCACAUUGAACAACUGAUCAAAUUAGUAUUUCUCUCUCUCUUUCAUCUCACUAUUGCUUGACAAAACUUAUUGAUUAUUAUUUGUAAUGCACUUGCCGCAGCGAGCCUGAUCCAUGUGGAUCCAUGGGCUAGUAAAAAAGAACUAGACCGUAGAGCUGAGCCUAAAAAAAGAAAUGGAAGAGGCCAAACUCUAGUGGAUAGGCCGCUGCAUGUAGUGAAAGUGACAACUGGACAUAUAAAGUUGAGUCUAGUUCAGUUGCGAGUGUUGAAUGCCUCACAUUGAAAACAAACAAGAAAAAUCAAGAAAAUAUAUAACAAGGGGAAACCAAGGCAAAUUAGCUUAUGUCAUUUGGAUAGAGGUAACUCUAAGCUCAACAGAAAAACCUUUGCUAAUUGUCGUCCGCAGUUUUCAAGUUAGAGAAUUUCACAUGUUAUUAGAGCAAGUUACGUUUUGGGACUUGCAGCAUGAUUGGCAGUGUCGUAGUGAGCUAGACCUAG
rnacentral:misc_RNA from 1 species